rnacentral:rRNA from 1 species
AUCACCUCCAGCAUUCCCAGUAUUGGAGGCACUGCCUGCCCGGUGACAUUAGUUAAACGGCCGCGGUAUUCUGACCGUGCAAAGGUAGCAUAAUCAUUUGUUCUCUAAAUAAGGACUUGUAUGAAAGGCCACACGAGGGUUUAACUGUCUCUUACUUCCAAUCAGUGAAAUUGACCUUCCCGUGAAGAGGCGGGAAUAAAGCAAUAAGACGAGAAGACCCUAUGGAGCUUUAAUUAACUAGCUCAAAAGAAUCUAUCUACCAGACCGACAGGAACAACAUACUCCUUCCAUGAGCUAACAAUUUAGGUUGGGGCGACCUCGGAGCACAAAACAACCUCCGAGUGAUAUUAAUCUAGACGUACCAGUCAAAAUGCUCACUUACUUAUUGAUCCAAAAACCUCUUUGAUCAACGGAACAAGUUACCCUAGGGAUAACAGCGCAAUCCUAUUUAAGAGUCCAUAUCGACAAUAGGGUUUACGACCUCGAUGUUGGAUCAGGACAUCCUAAUGGUGCAGCAGCUAU